GAUGAACGCUAGCGGCAGGCUUAAUACAUGCAAGUCAAGGGGGUAGCAAUACAACCGGCGCACGGGUGAGUAACACGUACACAACAUACCAUAUACUGAGGUAUAGCUUCGGGAAACUGAAGGUAAUCCCUCAUAGUAUUGUGAAAGGGCAUCUUUUUACAAUUAAAGUUUCGACGGUAUAUGAUUGGUGUGCGUUUGAUUAGCUAGUUGGUAGGGUAACGGCCUACCAAGGCAACAAUCAAUAGCUGGCGUGAGAGCGCGACCAGCCACACUGGAACUGAGACACGGUCCAGACUCCUACGGGAGGCAGCAGUAGGGAAUAUUGGACAAUGGGCGAAAGCCUGAUCCAGCCAUGCCGCGUGAUAGAUGAAGGCCCUCUGGGUUGUAAAUAUCUUUUAUCUGGGAAGAAACACUUCUAUUCUUAGAAGCUUGACGGUACCAGAGGAAUAAGCACCGGCUAACUCCGUGCCAGCAGCCGCGGUAAAGUAU
rnacentral:rRNA from 1 species